rnacentral:tRNA from 2 species
GGGUCUGUAGCUCAGUUGGCUAGAGCGCUUCUCUUACAAAGAAGAAGUCACUGGUUCGAGUCCAGUCAGACCCA